GGUGAACCUGCGGAAGGAUCAUUAUCGUACAACUGAGGUGCGAGGGCUGUCGCUGACCCAAAAGGUCGUGCACGCCCGAGUGCUCUCACACAUCCAUCUCACCCCUAUGUGCACCACCGCGUGGGUCCUCCUCUAAGGGGGGCUUACGUUUUCACACAAACUUCGUAUGCAGUGUAGAAUGUAUUUUUGUUUUGCGAUCACGCAAUCAAUACAACUUUCAACAACGGAUCUCUUGGCUCUCGCAUCGAUGAAGAACGCAGCGAAAUGCGAUACGUAAUGUGAAUUGCAGAAUUCAGUGAAUCAUCGAAUCUUUGAACGCACCUUGCGCCCCUUGGCAUUCCGAGGGGCACACCCGUUUGAGUGUCGUGAAAUUCUCAAAACCUUUUUCUUUUUGGGAAAGGGUUUUGGACUUGGAGGCUUUUUGCUGGUUUCACCUUGAAGCGAGCUCCUCCUAAAUGAAUCAGUGGGGUCCGCUCUGCCGAUCCUUGACGUGAUAAGAUGUUUCUGCGUCUUGGGUUUGGCACUGUCACCUGCUUCUAACCGUCUCAUUGACAACGAUGGCGCUCCGGUCACCACCGCUCUAUCGGUGGGAGGCUUGACCCACAAAAAAAACCUUGACCUCAAAUCGGGUGAGACUACCCGCUGAACUUAAGCAUAUCAAUAAGCGGAGGAAAAGAAACUAACAAGGAUUCCCCUAGUAACUGCGAGUGAAGCGGGAAAAGCUCAAAUUGAAAAUCUGGUGGNCUUUGGCCAUCCGAGUUGUAAUUUANAGAAGCGUCU
rnacentral:rRNA from 1 species